rnacentral:rRNA from 1 species
UAUUUAUUAGAUAAAAAACCAAUGCCCUUCGGGGCUCCUUGGUGAAUCAUAAUAACUUAACGAAUCGCAUGGCCUUGCGCCGGCGAUGGUUCAUUCAAAUUUCUGCCCUAUCAACUUUCGAUGGUAGGAUAGUGGCCUACCAUGGUAUCAACGGGUAACGGGGAAUUAGGGUUCGACUCCGGAGAGGGAGCCUGAGAAACGGCUACCACAUCCAAGGAAGGCAGCAGGCGCGCAAAUUACCCAAUCCCGACACGGGGAGGUAGUGACAAUAAAUACUGAUACAGGGCUCUUUUGGGUCUUGUAAUUGGAAUGAGUACAAUUUAAAUCCCUUAACGAGGAACAAUUGGAGGGCAAGUCUGGUGCCAGCAGCCGCGGUAAUUCCAGCUCCAAUAGCGUAUAUUAUAGUUGUUGCAGUUAAAAAGCUCGUAGUUGAACCUUGGGCCUGGCUGGCCGGUCCGCCUCACCGCGUGUACUGGUCCGGCCGGGCCUUUCCUUCUGGGGAACCUCAUGCCCUUCACUGGGCGUGUUGGGGAACCAGGACUUUUACUUUGAAAAGAUUAGAGUGUUCAAAGCAGG